UAGAGGUUGCCCAUGACGGCCACAUAUUGCUUUUAGCAGCAUGUUGUAGAGGGAGGAGGAGCUUCGCCUUGUGCUGGGAUGCAGAAGAGAGGAAGAGCCCAGGGUGGCACAGUUCCCUGGACGGCUAGUCCCUAGCGACCUGAAGACCUCCAAGUUGCCCCCUCAGGAAGGAUCCGUCACCUCCUGACAGUGCCACCCUGGGGGCCGAGCCUUUAACACACGGGCCUUUGGAGGACCCUUGAGGUCCUAGCUGUCGCCAGUGGAAUGGCUCCCUCCUGCCGCCUUGGGCUCCCCUUCUCUCUGCCCUGCCCUUCUCACUGAGCCUGGCUUCCUUCAUGGCCAGGGCAGCCUCUGCUCUCAGGCCUCAGCAUCUUCUUCUUCUCCACCGUUUGUGGAGUCAUCUCUCCCCUCUGCCUUAGGACAGCGCCCCCGUCUGGAGCACAGGGGAACAGCCAGGAUGACUGGGGACAGGCAGCGGGGGACUCAGGUAGGUCUUCCUGGGCUGUGUGGUGCGUGCCACCUGGGCCUCCCAGAACUGGGAAGGUUGAACACAGCAUUGGUAGGCGCUACACCAGGUGGAGGGGGCCUUUUCUGCUUCUCCUGC
rnacentral:lncRNA from 1 species